GAUUUGAUCUAUUUCUAGUGGCGGACGGGUGAGUAACGCGUGGGUAACCUGCCUUAUACAGGGGGAUAACAGUCAGAAAUGGCUGCUAAUACCGCAUAAGCGCGCAGAGCUGCAUGGCUCAGUGUGAAAAACUCCGGUGGUAUAAGAUGGACCCGCGUUGGAUUAGCUGGUUGGUGGGGUAACGGCCCACCAAGGCGACGAUCCAUAGCCGGCCUGAGAGGGUGAACGGCCACAUUGGGACUGAGACACGGCCCAGACUCCUACGGGAGGCAGCAGUGGGGAAUAUUGCACAAUGGGGGAAACCCUGAUGCAGCGACGCCGCGUGAAGGAAGAAGUAUCUCGGUAUGUAAACUUCUAUCAGCAGGGAAGAUAGUGACGGUACCUGACUAAGAAGCCCCGGCUAACUACGUGCCAGCAGCCGCGGUAAUACGUAGGGGGCAAGCGUUAUCCGGAUUUACUGGGUGUAAAGGGAGCGUAGACGGUGUGGCAAGUCUGAUGUGAAAGGCAUGGGCUCAACCUGUGGACUGCAUUGGAAACUGUCAUACUUGAGUGCCGGAGGGGUAAGCGGAAUUCCUAG
rnacentral:rRNA from 1 species